rnacentral:rRNA from 1 species
AUUGAACGCUGGCGGCAGGCCUAACACAUGCAAGUCGAACGAGUGGCGGACGGGUGAGUAAUGUCUGGGAAACUGGCCGAUGGAGGGGGAUAACUACUGGAAACGGUAGCUAAUACCGCAUACCAUCGGAUGUGCCCAGAUGUGAUUAGCUAGUAGGGGGGGUAACGGCUCACCUGGGCGUCGAUCCCUGGCUGUGGUGAGAGGGUGACCGGCCACACUGGAACUGAGACACGGUCCAGACUCCUACGGGAGUGAGCAGGGGGUAAUAUUGGACAAUGGCCGCAAGCCUGACGCAGCCAGGCCGCGUGUAUGAAGAAGGCCUUCGGGUUGUAAAGGACUUUCAGCGAGGAGGCGUUACUCGCAGAGGAAGCACCGGCUAACUCCGUGCCAGCAGCCGCGGUAAUUC